UACGGGAAGGCAGCAGUGGGGAAUAUUGCACAAUGGGCGAAAGCCUGAUGCAGCUAUGCCGCGUGUAUGAAGAAGGCCUUAGGGUUGUAAAGUACUUUCAUCGGGGAGGAAAAACAAACUAAUAAUUUUAUUUCUUGACGUUACCCGAAAAAGAAGCACCGGCUAACUCCGUGCCAGCAGCCGCGGUAAUACGGAGGGUGCUAGCGUUAAUCAGAAUUACUGGGCGUAAAGAGCACGUAGGUGGUUUUUUUAAGUCAGAUGUGAAAUCCCUGGGCUUAACCUAGGAACUGCAUUUUGAAACUGAAAUACUAGAGUAUCGUAGAGGGAGGUAGAAUUCUAGGUGUAGCGGUGAAAUGCGUAGAUAUCUGGAGGAAUACCUGUGGCGAAAGCGGCCUCCUAAACGAAUACUGACACUGAGGUGCGAAAGCGUGGGGAGCAAACAGGGAUUAGAUACC
rnacentral:rRNA from 1 species